AAGUCUUCAUUCGCAUGUGUAAGUGAUCAAAGGAAUCAUUUAUAUACUAUUCAUCUGAUAUGUGGGCCAUUGGCUCACACGAUAUUAACUUAAUUUUUUAAGGGGAAGAGUCCAUCAAGGUAGCUUGCUGCCUGGGCCUUCACGUGUCGCCCUGGUCUUGCACUAUUGCUUGGGCCUGGCACACCCCAC
rnacentral:snRNA from 1 species